rnacentral:rRNA from 1 species
CAUCUAAGCGGGAAGCGCGCCCCAAGAUGAGAUCUCUCCCUCCUUGAGAGGAUAAGAGCCCAGGAAGACCACCUGGUUGAUAGGCGCGGUGUGUAAGCGUGGUAACACGUUGAGCUAACGCGUACUAAUUGCUCGAAGGCUUGACCAU